rnacentral:ncRNA from 1 species
GCCUCGGGACGACCCGCGGCCUUCGCACUUCACAGGGGACGGCCCCA